rnacentral:snRNA from 1 species
GGAUGUGAGAGUGAUCUGGCUUCGACAUCUGUCACCCCAUCCAUCGCCAGGGUUGAUUCGGCUGAUCAGGCUGGCUAGGCGGGUGAUCCCUUCCUCCCUCACUGCUCCAUGUUGCUCCAAGCUGUGCGCUCAGUCAAAGAGGAUGACCUUCCCCGAUAGAGGUGUGUACCGUUCAUUGGUCAAGGGUAUACGGUAGCUGCGCUCCCCUGCUAGAACCUCUAAACAAGCACAAAUACUAGGCACUUUCUUUUCAGAGAGCAUCCUGCCGUCCAGAAAACCACAGGACACAUUAGAGGGAAAGUCACUC